rnacentral:rRNA from 1 species
GACAGAGGAGCCAAGCGUUGUCCGGAUUGACUGGGCGUAAAGCGCACGCAGGCGGUCGUGCACGUGGGGUGUGAAAACUGGCGGCUUAACUGCCAGAGGCCACCUCAUACGGCGCGACUCGAGCCCGUGAGAGGUCCAUGGAAUUGCCGGUGUAGUGGUGAAAUGCGUAGAGAUCGGCAGGAACACCCAGGGAGAAAUCAGUGGACUGGCACGGUGCUGACGCUCAGGUGCGAAAAGCGUGGGGAGCGAACCGG